GACGAAGCUGGCGGCGUGCCUAAUACAUGCAAGUAGAACGCACAGUUUAUACCGUAGCUUGCUACACCAUAAACUGUGAGUUGCGAACGGGUGAGUAACGCGUAGGUAACCUGCCUGGUAGCGGGGGAUAACUAUUGGAAACGAUAGCUAAUACCGCAUAAUAUUAAUUAUUGCAUGAUAAUUGAUUGAAAGGUGCAAAUGCAUCACUACCAGAUGGACCUGCGUUGUAUUAGCUAGUAGGUGAGGUAACGGCUCACCUAGGCGACGAUACAUAGCCGACCUGAGAGGGUGAUCGGCCACACUGGGACUGAGACACGGCCCAGACUCCUACGGGAGGCAGCAGUAGGGAAUCUUCGGCAAUGGACGAAAGUCUGACCGAGCAACGCCGCGUGAGUGAAGAAGGUUUUCGGAUCGUAAAGCUCUGUUGUAAGAGAAGAACGGGUGUGAGAGUGGAAAGUUCACACUGUGACGUAUCUACCAGAAAGG
rnacentral:rRNA from 1 species